CAGUCGCCGCGGUAAUACGUAGGGUGCGAGCGUUAAUCGGAAUUACUGGGCGUAAAGCGUGCGCAGGCGGUUUUGUAAGACAGGCGUGAAAUCCCCGGGCUCAACCUGGGAAUGGCGCUUGUGACUGCAAAGCUAGAGUGCGGCAGAGGGGGAUGGAAUUCCGCGUGUAGCAGUGAAAUGCGUAGAUAUGCGGAGGAACACCGAUGGCGAAGGCAAUCCCCUGGGCCUGCACUGACGCUCAUGCACGAAAGCGUGGGGAGCAAACAGGAUUAGAUACCCCUGUAGUCCCUGUCUCUUAUAA
rnacentral:rRNA from 1 species